GGCUCAGAUUGAACGCUGGCGGCAUGCUUUACACAUGCAAGUCGAACGGUAACAGGCCGCAAGGUGCUGACGAGUGGCGAACGGGUGAGUAAUGUAUCGGAACGUGCCCAGUAGUGGGGGAUAACUACUCGAAAGAGUGGCUAAUACCGCAUGAGAACUGAGGUUGAAAGCAGGGGAUCUUCGGACCUUGCGCUAAUAGAUGAGCCUAAGUCGGAUUAGCUAGUUGGUAGGGUAAAGGCCUACCAAGGCGACGAUCCGUAGCGGGUCUGAGAGGAUGAUCCGCCACACUGGGACUGAGACACGGACCAGACUCCUACGGGAGGCAGCAGUGAGGAAUAUUGGUCAAUGGGCGCAAGCCUGAACCAGCCAUGCCGCGUGCAGGAAGACGGUCCUAUGGAUUGUAAACUGCUUUUAUACAGGAAGAAACCCUCCCACGUGUGGGAGCUUGACGGUACUGUAGGAAUAAGGAUCGGCUAACUCCGUG
rnacentral:rRNA from 1 species